AGAAAAGGCAACUGUCUAAGCUUAUUUGGAGUGGUUGCCGUUUAAGGGAAAGGAGACAUUUGUCCAGCAUCGUUCAAAACAAAUUUUGUUUUUUCUGCUCGUGGAUGUGAAAAUAUUUAUUGUCCUGUUGGUUGUCCAAAGCCUGCUUCAGACACGUAAGUGGCCAGGCAACACACACAGCUGUCAGACACAGGCAACAACUGCCACAGAGGCAUCCGAGAAACCAGGGACAGCAGGAGUUGAGAUCCACUGGAAGCCGUGGCCGCCAGACCUAACCAAUGGAUGCCAGAGUGUGUGUCAGCCCUAACAGGGAUAGGAGACCAGCCUCACUUCAGUUUCUUUUCCAUGCUUUUCCUGGGGAUCCUGCUAUUUUUGUUGGGAUACGGGGAUUAUGAGGACCUGGAGAUUUAAAAGACUAAAAAUUACUUUCUAAACAGAAGUGGAUAAAAAUUAUACACUCGAAGAACAUGUAAUAUGCCCUUUCAAGAAUGUUCUGGUUUACCAGAAAAUGAUUAUACUUACCAUGCAGUAAUUUUAUUCCUAAAUAUAUACCCAGACUAGAGAAGUUCUUCCAUGUGUUCCCAAAAAGCCACAUGAAGGUUCUGUGCACAUCGCCAUGCUGUUUGACAUAAUAUGACAGUCAAAAUGCCCAUAAAUAGAAAAAUGAAAAAAAUAGGUUAUAGUAUGUUCACAUAAUGAAUACUAUACAGCAAUUAAACUGAUCAAACUAGGGCUGAGUCAAUAAGAAUGAAUUUCAAAUACUGAGGAAAAAAGGGUAAAGACAGAAAGGGACAAUCUAGAAAUACAGGUAUGUCCUCAAAAAGCAGCCACCACUGCCAGGCAAAGGCAACCUGCAUGUAUGAAAGAACUCAGACACAAUGGCCAGUUUCACAAAAGGAAACAAGAUAGCUUGUAUAUGAAGCUGAAAAGUGUGUGAAACACUGUCUAAUGAUUACAGAUGCACAUCUCUAAAGGAAUGAUAAACAUCAGCAGCUCAUGGUUACUUCACUACGUAGGGAAGGAAAGAGAGGAAUGAGAUCUGGGGGCAUAAAGAGGAGAGGAGUUUGCAAUUCAUCUGAAAUACUUUUAUUUCCUAAGUGGGAUGAUGAGAUCACAGGUGUUUAUUAUUGUCUACACUUUUUGGUAUGCCUCAAAUGUUACAGAAGCUUUAGAAAGCCAACUGCAUAAUGACUACAACCUCUUUGAGUGCAGCAACACCUGUUCAGUCUGGACAAUUAACAGAACAGGGGGCAAAGAGGUUAACAAUUCCCUUCACUCUCAAGUCCCCAAAUCCAAGCAGCUGCUGCUCCUUCUGCCAUAGUUCAGCUCCUUCUCUCUGGCAUGUCACCCUGCUCCACGCCACCCACAACCCUUUACACAUAGCCAACUCAGCCUUCACAGCCCACCUCAAAAUGCAGCACCCCCACAAGGACCUCCGUGACAUCCCACGAUGCAAGUAACCCCCAACUCAGAACCAUGAAGCCUGGCUCUCUGGGCUCUGCACUAGAGUUAUUUCUGAAGUUAUCUGAUCUGCCUGUUUGGGAGACACCUUAGUAUCUACUAUAGAGCAGCUGCUCAUUAAGUUCUUCAUUCAACAAAAACUGAGUGCCCAGUAUGUGCUGGCCACUAUGCCAGGGGUUCUCUGAGUCCCAAAACGUAGAACUUGAGAAGACCACGGCCUAACAGAAGAGACAGGCCUGUAGCGAAGUAUAACACUAUUAAUACUACGUGCUGAAUCCUCAAAUAGUUGCUAAGUGAAUGCCAACUACGAAUAAUGAAAUUUUAGGAUUGCUUCGCAAUAGUAACUAUUCAAUACAUCUUAUUUUCUCUAUACUAAAGACUUUAUAAUAUUACUCUUGACAAGAAAAUGUCACCUUGUUUGCGUUGAGGUGGGGCUUCUAAAUAGAGUAAUUAUAAAGACAAUAAAAGAAACUAUCAUUAAACCUCCUCAGAGUCAAGGAAUUGAAGGCUCUUAGAAUUAUUAUUACAGAAAAACAACAUCUCAAGUCAAUUCGAUUUUACCACAGUCCAUUCAUACUGGGUGACUUUGAAGAGGUUUUAAAGACAUUUCAAGCAUUUCAAGCACUGUUAUUACUGAUAAUAGCCAACAUUUAUUGAGUACUCAUUAAGUGCCAGUAAAUGAUUACUGAUUAUGUGCCAGUAAAUGACUUAGACAGAGAAUUGACUAAAAUUUGAACCAAAGCACUCCGACUUAAGAACCCACACUCUUCGCCACCAACCAUACGUUUCCUAAGCAGGAAAAUCAAUCAAUCCCUGCUGAUAUAGUUUGGAGGGACUCCCUAUCACCACCACACCUAAGACAACAGAAGAAAUCAUUUCCAGGUUCACAGCCAGGAGCACUCACUUUCCCAAACCUCUGUUAGGAGAAUCCUCCCCUCCAAAAGCGGAGUUACCUUUAACAGGCCCACAUCCCCCUGAGAACGGGGACUGGCUCAACUUUGUAUUCUGCCUCUAAGCAACUUGCAGUAAACGCCUCUCAAAAGCAGCUUCCAGUAAACGCUUCCCAAACUUCAACGUGAUCAUGGAUCACCUGGGAAUGUGUUAAAAUGCAAAUUUUGCUCGAGCAGGUCCAGGGUGGUAUCUGAGAGACACAUUUCUAACCAGGUCCAGGUGAUGUCUGUUAGUCUGAGGCCCACACCUGGGAGUAGCAAGGUGUUGAGAACCUAGGCUGCGCAUCAGAAUCACCGGGGAAGCUUUUAAAGCUAUCCAUGUCCAGGUGCCACUCUAACAAAUAGAAUCUCUGACGGUGAAGGCUGGAGAUGAGAAGCUUACAGAGCUCCCUGUAUGAUUCUAAUGAGCAAUCAAGUUUGAGAACUACUGUGCUACAGCUUUACUACUCAAGCUUUGCUCCAUGGACCACCGUUGUAGACCAGUGCUUUGCAAACUUCCACGUGAAUGUAAACCACUUGGACCUCUUGGUAAAAUGCAGAUUCUAAUGUAGUAGGUCAGGGUGGGGCUGAGGAUUCUGCAAUUCUAAUAAGCUCCCAAGUGAAUGCUGUUGGGUGGCAAGAUGGUGAGUAAAAACAUCAGAAAAUCUCAGGAGUUCAGUGUGUGUGAUUUUUAAGGCUUUCCUUUUGUAAUUUUAGAUUCAGAGACCAGUAGAAUACCUGCAAAUAGAGCGUCAGGCACAGGCAUAAGAAACAGCAUAUGAGGUAUGGGGAUUACAAAAUGGAAGCAUUUAUCUAACAUUAGACAGGACAGAGAUUAAUAUUAAUCCUCAUUAGCAUUCAUGAGAAACUUAUUUACCUUCCCUUGCACCAUGACCACUGUCUGUCUCAAGUACUAAAAAUGAAGGCUCUGCUAACAGCUUGAGCCAAUUCAAUAGACAGACAUACCUUGGAUAUAUUGCUGGUUCAAUUCCAGAAUGCUGCAAUAAAGCAAAUAUCACAAUAGAGCAAGUGAUACAAAUUUCUGGAUUUUCUGGUGCCUAUAAGAGUUAGGUUUACGCUGUAGUUUCUCAGUGUGCAACGGUAUUUUGUCUAAAAACAACAGUGUACAUACUUUCCUUUAAAAACAAACUUUAUUGCUAAAAAAUGCUAAUGAUCAUCUGAGUACUCAGCAAGUCCUAAUCUUUUUGCUGAUGGAAGGACUUGCCUCAAUGUUGAUGGCUGCUGACUGAUCAGGGUGGUGGUUGCAGAAGGUUGCGGUGGCUGUGGCAACUUCUGAAAAUAAGACAAAAAUGAAGUUUGCUGCAUCAAUGGACUCUUCUUUUCACAAAAUAUUUCUCUGUAGCCUGUGAGGCUGCUUGAUCAUCUUUUACCCACCACAAAACUUUUUUUUUUCAAAGUUAAAGUCAAUCCUCUCAAACCUUGCCACUGCUUUAUUAAGUUUAUGAAAUAUUCCAAAUCCUUUGUAGUCAUCUCAAUGAGGUUCACAGCAUUUUCAUCAGCAGUAGACUUCAUUUCAAGAAACCGCUUUCUUUAUUCACCCAUAAGAAGCAACUCCUCAUUUAUUAAAGUUUUAUCAUGACACUGUAGCAAUUCAGUCACAUCUUAAGGCUCCACUUCUCGUUCGCCUGCUAUUUCCACCACAUCUGCAGUUAUUUAAUCUACUGGAAGUUUCAAACCACUCAGCCACUCAUGAAGGUUGGAAUUAACAUCUUCCAAAUUCCUGUUCAUGUUGAUAUCUUGACCUCCUCCUCCCACAAAUCAUAAAUGUUCUUAAUGGCAUCUAGAAUGGUGAAUCCUUUCCAGAAGGUUUUCAACUGACUUUGCCCAGAUCCAUCAGAGGAAUCACUAUCUAUAGUGACUACAGCUUUACACAAUAUAUUCCUUCCAAAAAAGCUCAAAGUCAAAAUUACUCCUCGAUCCAUGGUUUGCAGAAUGGAUAUUGUGUUGGCGGGCAUUAGAACUACAUCAGUCUUCUUGUACAUCUCCAUCAGAGCUCCCGGGUGACCAGGCGUCUUGUCAAUGAGUAGCAGUAGUAUUUUCAAAGAAAUCCUUUUUUUUUUUUUUUUUGCCUCUAAGCAGUAGGUCUUAAUAGUGGGCUUAAAAUAGUCAGUAAAUCAUGCUGUCAGCAGAUGUGCUGUUAUCUAGCCUUUGUAGUUCCAUUCCUAGAGCACAGGCAGAGUAGAUUUAAGGAUAAUUCUGAAGGGCCGUAGGAUUUUGAGAAGGGAAAAUGAGCACUAACUUCAAUUUAGUGUCACUAGCUGCAUUAGCUCCUACCAAGGGUCAGCUUGUCCUUUCAAGCUUUAAGAAAAGGCGAUGCCUCGUACUCUCUAGCUAAGAAAGUCCUAGACAGCAUCUUUUUCCAAUAGAUGGCUAUUUGGUUUACAGUGAAAAUGUGUUGUUUAGUGUAGCUAGCUUUAUCAAUUAUCCCAGCUAGAUCUUCUGGAUAACUCACUGCAGCUUCUACAUCAGCACUUGCUGCUUCGUCUAGUACUUUUAUGUUACGGAGAUAGCUUCUUUUCUUAAACCUCAUAAACCACCCUCGGCUAGCUUCCAGCUUUUUGGCUGCAGCUCCCUCACCUGUCUCAGCUUUCAGAGAAUUGAAGAGAGUUAGAGCCUUGCUCUGGCUUCGGCUUAAGGAAACGUUGUGGCUGAUUUGAUCUUCUAUCCAGACCAUUAAAACUUUCUCUAUAUCAGAAAUAAGGUGUUUUCCUUAUUAUUCAUGUGUUCUAUGAAGUAGCACUUUUAAUUUCCUUCAAGAACUUUUCAUUGCAUUCACAACUUGGCUGUUUGGUGCAAGAGGUCUAGCCUUCAGCGUAUUCUGGCUUUCAACAUGCCUUUCUCACCAAGUUUAAUCCUUUCUAGAAUUUUAUUUAAAGUGAGAGACAUGAGAUUCUUCCUUUCAUUUGAACAUUUAGAGGCAUUGCAGGGUUAUUAACUGGCAUAAUCUCAAUAUUGUGUGUCUCAGGCAAUAGGGAGGCCCGAGAAGAGGGAGAGAGAGGGGGAACAGCUGGUUUCAUGGAGCAAUCGGAACACACAAAACUUAUUGAUAAGGUUUGCCACGUUAUAUGGGCAUGGUUUAUGGGGCCCCAAAACAAUGACAAUAGUAACAUCAAAGAUCUGGGACCACAGGUCACCAUAACAGAUAUAACAGUAAUGAAAAAGUCUGAAAUAUUGAGAUAAUGACUAAAAUGUGACACAGAGACAAAAAGUGAGCACCUGUUAUUGGAAACAUGGCACCAACAGACUUGUUUGAGGCAGGGUUACCACAAAUCUGUAAUUUGAAUAAAAAAAAAAAACAGAGUAUCUUCAAAGAGCAAUAAAGCUAAGUGCAAUAAAAUGAGGUUUGCCUGUAGCUCUGUAUUUCAGUUUACAGAGGGCUUAUGAAGUGAAAAACAAGAUUAAAGUACUGUAAACAAGACCCUUUUGAGUUCAGGCAAAUUUGUAUUCCUGUGUAAAACACCUUCAGAGAACAAUUUACUCAAGAAAGUUGGUGUCUUUUUUCCUCCCCAAAACAAGGCUCAAUGGAUAACAUCCAAUGUUGCAAAUAUGGUGCUAAGAGACCUCUGCUAAGAUGAAUAUCACUUCCUUUAAAAGUUAAAUAUUGUACUGAUAUAUGAAUAAAAAUAUUGCUGUAUCAUCUCGAUCAAUUAAAGUAUUAACCACCAUUCCAUUUUUAUUUAGAUCUAUGAUUCUCCUUGUAAUCACUUAUACCUCCAAUGUCUGUUAUCAUUUGAUGCCAUUCUUUGAUCAAAGCUCAUCCAAGUAACAGGCGCCGCACCAUGCUCUUCACACCAGUAGCCACCAAUAUCCAGGGAAUUACUUUGGUUUGUUUGUUUUAAGGUUUAAACCACAGAAUUAGAAUGUCUCCAGGAAUAGCUAUUUGAAAUCCAGGACCAUUUCCUGAAGUCAUCACUAAUUUAUAAAAGAGGCACCAAACAGACAGGGAGGGCACAAGACCACCAGGGCAAGGGCUGUCUGAAGGGCACUGAAAGAACAACCAAUGACCAGUGCACUUAGCUUCCAUCCUGGGCUCCCUGACAAUCGACCCACUGCUGGAGAAGGGACAACACACAGAAGAGCUUCCAGGAAACUGACCUUACAGGGCACAUUUUCUACAGAGAUGGCAUUAGAAGGACACAUAAGCAAAACCCAAGUGCUCCUGUGUGAGCCCCUCCUCACAGUCCCAUCCUCAGCCCACUCCUCACCCUUGAGAGCCCUCUCAUAACCACAGCUGCAAGUCUUACAUCUAAAAGGGUGACUCCAAAGUCUCUCCAGUGACCUUCAGUCCCAUAUUCCCACCAGCACUUCACAAGUAACCCUCUCUCUCCUCCAAUUUGACCUCUUUAUAUCUGAUCACACUAGGUGUCCUCCUACCAACCUGCUGCUUCCCCCAACUCCAGUGCAGGGUUUCUUGCUCCAGCCAGUCACCCAUGCUUGAACUCUCACAAUCAUUUUGACUCAGCCCCAUGUGUCCUAGAGUCAAACAUUCAUCAAAUCCUUGCAUCUUUCUUUUUACCAGGCUAUUUCUUAUCUAUUUUCUUAUUAUUCCUUAGACUCUUAGACUACUACAACACCCAUGAUAGGUUUAAAAUAAAUAUCCACAAAUUAGAACUUAGCAAAGUCUUACCACAAAACUGCACAUUGGUUGAUAAGGCUAUUUCCAUCUUACCAAUAAGCAAUCAGAAGUUCCACGAAUGAAAAGACCUCCCCGAGAACAAGCUGCCAGAAAAGAGGAUGGCUUCACCUCUUCUCUUCAGUCUCAACCCUCCAGGUUUAUUCCACCUACCACAGUGCACUGUGCUUCAUAGACAGAAAGUGAUUUCUAAGGAAGCCCCGUAGUAAGGGUCCGAUGCAGGACUUCUGUCCAUGGCCGAGUGGCAGAAUAACUUUUCUUUGGGUUACUACUGUCAUUGGUAUUCAUUUGUAUUUAAUGAGCUCCUACUGGGUACCGGACAUUGUUAGGCCACUUGACUUUCUUUUCUUGAUUUUUGUUCCAUCUGAUUAAUCUCGUUUCCUCCUCCUUCCUCCUUUACGAGAUAGGUAUUAUUCAUUUCAUUUUACGCUUGCAGAGGGUCCCAGAUUUUAUGUAUUUAUUCAAAAAUACGCACCUAGAAAGUGAAACAAUUCGAAACCAGGAAUAAAUGGCUCUGAGACCUAGAAGAGCCCCUAACCCACAUCACUGAGCAGGAACUCCUUUGUGGUUUUUAAAAAAAAAAAAUCAAAUCACCAUUACACUACUUUGGAAAGAAGCCAGAAAGAGAAAAAUGAGAACCUCUUUUUUGACUGAACAAAUUUAAAAUGUAAAAGAAAAGGAUUAAAGAGAUUACUGGAGCAACAGCAACAGGCUCAUGAAGCCACAAGGCAGCAGACCUUCCCAGCACCAAUGGCAGAAAAGAAGCCCGGAGCUCCGUGGGCAGCCAGAUCUCUCCAAUUUCACAACAUGAAAAUGUUGUUCUCUGUCACCAGCUUCACUAAUGUCACAUUAUUUUAAAUUAUUCUUUUAAUAUUUAUAUAUUAUAUUAAAGUGACUUCAAGUUUAAACUGGGAUGUUGAAACAGUUUUUCAAAUCGCACUUCAACAAAUUUCUACUUCUUAUUUCACAUGAAUUCUUCCUAAGCGGACAAACAAUACAGAUAGAGAAAAACUGAGGAAGAAAGAGAAUAAUUUCCAAACACUGCAUUCCAUUUGAGAAGGAGGAGAAAGAAAUAAGAGCAAGGCAAAAAAAAAAAAAAAAAUCCCCA